rnacentral:tRNA from 1 species
GGCCCUAUCGUCUAGCGGCCUAGGACGCCGCCCUCUCACGGCGGUAACAGGGGUUCGAGUCCCCUUAGGGUCACCA